CAAGGAUACAUGCAAUAACCCCCCUUUUUUUUACACAAUUUGCUAUUCAUUAAAGCCCAUCUACUGAUGCAUUAAAGGAAAGGAUGAAUUGUGUAAAAAAAAGGGGAGGUUAUUGCAUGUAUCCUUGAA